GCGUGACCCAAAGCAUAUCCAGAAACAAACCCUCCAUCAUGUCUUACAUGGCACUAGCUCUCAUUGUCCUGAUUGCCCUGGCAGCAGUUAAUGGUGAACCUGAAAAUGUUGAUGCAGAUAAGAGAUCAAGAAAAUGUUAUAAGCGUAAUGGGAAAUGUCGUCUGAGAUGCGGGAAGUAUGAAAUUAAUAAUGGAAGAAAGGACUGCCCUGCACUUCAAAGGUGCUGUACUUUUAAACGUUAAAUGAAAAAACGGCUUAUGACAUUAUGCUUCAGUGAUAUUUUUUCUUCAGUCAUUGAAUAAGUUAAGCAUCCAUCAUGGAGAAGCUACACAGUUCUUUUGCUUUAUAAAGACCACCUCUUCACCAUAUCUUCUUUGCUUCCGCAUUAUUCAUUAAUAACUGCAACUCUAAUGAUUAGUGAUUGGUAAUGCUGCUAUGUCUCUGAACUAACAUAAUUUGAUAAUGUGACAUGAAACUGUCUUUGAAUGUUGACUUUUGCUUAAUUUACCAGUAAACGUUGAUUUUUGCAUUUA